rnacentral:rRNA from 1 species
GACGAACGCUGGCGGCGUGCUUAACACAUGCAAGUCGAACGGAAAGGCCCUGCUUUUGUGGGGUACUCGAGUGGCGAACGGGUGAGUAACACGUGAGUAACCUGCCCUUGACUUUGGGAUAACUUCAGGAAACUGGGGCUAAUACCGGAUAGGAGCUCCUGCUGCAUGGUGGGGGUUGGAAAGUUUCGGCGGUUGGGGAUGGACUCGCGGCUUAUCAGCUUGUUGGUGGGGUAGUGGCUUACCAAGGCUUUGACGGGUAGCCGGCCUGAGAGGGUGACCGGCCACAUUGGGACUGAGAUACGGCCCAGACUCCUACGGGAGGCAGCAGUGGGGAAUAUUGCACAAUGGGCGGAAGCCUGAGGCAGCAACGCCGCGUGCGGGAUGACGGCCUUCGGGUUGUAAACCGCUUUCGCCUGUGACGAAGCGUGAGUGACGGUAAUGGGUAAAGAAGCACCGGCUAACUACGUG